CAAUCAAAACCAACCGAGGGUAGGU
rnacentral:piRNA from 1 species